AACGUAGGAGACAAACGUUAUCCGGAGUUACUGGGCGUAAAGGGCGUGCAGGUGGUCUGUCAAGUCUGGCGUGAAAGCUCUCGGCUAAACCGGGAGAGGUCGUUGGAUACUGGCGGACUAGAGGACGGUAGAGGCGUGUGGAAUUCCGGGUGUAGUGGUGAAAUGCGUAGAGAUCCGGAGGAACACCAGUGGCGAAGGCGACACGCUGGGCCGUACCUGACACUAAAACGCGACAGCAUGGGGAGCGAACGGG
rnacentral:rRNA from 1 species